GCGGAUAUGGCGAAAUUGGUAGACGCGCUAGCUUCAGGUGCUAGUGCCCGCAAGGGCGUGGUGGUUCAAGUCCACUUAUCCGCA
rnacentral:tRNA from 1 species